rnacentral:rRNA from 1 species
UACGAGUGCCUCAAGCGUUAUCCGGAAUUAUUGGGCGUAAAGAGCGUGUAGGCGGCCUGGAAGGUCAGCUGUGAAAACUCGAGGCUCAACCUCGAGACGUCGGUUGAAACCACUUGGCUAGAGUCCGGAAGAGGAGUGUGGAAUUCCCGGUGUAGCGGUGAAAUGCGCAGAUAUCGGGAAGAACACCCGUGGCGAAGGCGGCACUCUGGGACGGUACUGACGCUGAGACGCGAAAGCGUGGGGAGCGAACAGG